rnacentral:rRNA from 1 species
UUAAGUAAGGAAGGGCGUACGGCGAAUGCCUUGCCACUCGAAACUGAAGAAGGACGCGCCAAACUGCGAAAAGCUCCGUGAAGCUGUAAGGAAGCGAAGAAGCGGAGGUGUCCGAAUGGGGGAACCCGGCAGCAGACAUGAGCUGUCAUCUGCAGGUGAAUACAUGGCCUGCAAGAGAGGUACCCGGCGAACUGAAACAUCUAAGUAGCCGGAGGAAAAGAAAACAACAGUGAUUCCCUGAGUAGCGGCGAGCGAAAGGGGAGAAGCCCAAACCGGUUGAAGGACCGGGGUUGAAGGACCAUGACAUGGCAAGAACGAGGAUAGGAGAACGGGAUCGAAAGCCCGGCCGAAGAAGGUGAAAGCCCUGUAACCGAAAUCCGAGUAAAGCCUAAUGGGAUCCUGAGUACGGCGAGACACGAGAAAUCUUGUCGGAAGCAGGCGGGACCAUCCGCCAAGGCUAAAUAUAAACGAGUGAGCGAUAGUGAACCAGUACCGUGAGGGAAAGGUGAAAAGAACCGCGGGAGCGGAGUGAAAGAGAACCUGAAACCGUAUGCCUACAAGAAGUCAGAGCCCGUUAAGGGGUGAUGGCGUGCCUUUUGUAGAAUGAACCGGCGAGUUGCGACAGACUGCGAGGUUAAGGAGGAAAGACCGGAGCCGAAGCGAAAGCGAGUCUUAAGAGGGCGAAAGUAGGAUGUUGCAGACCCGAAACCGGGUGAUCUAGCCAUGAGCAGGUUGAAGUUGAGGUGAAACUCAAUGGAGGACCGAACCGACUACCGUUGAAAAGUUAGCGGAUGACUUGUGGCUAGGGGAGAAAUUCCAAUCGAACCCGGAGAUAGCUGGUUCUCCCCGAAAUAGCUUUAGGGCUAGCGUCGGAAAGAACCUUAGUGAAGGUAGAGCACUGAAUGUGUGAUGGCCCCAUCCCGGGGUACUGAAUACAAUCAAACUGCGAAUGUCAUUAAGGAUGUCCGGCAGUCAGACUGUGAGUGAUAAGGUCCAUGGUCAAGAGGGAAACAGCCCAGACCGCCAGUUAAGGUCCCAAAAUACAGGCUAAGUGGAAAAGGAUGUGGGGAUGCCCAGACAACUAGGAGGUUGGCUCAGAAGCAGCCAUCCUUUAAAGAGUGCGUAACAGCUCACUAGUCGAGUGACCCUGCGCCGAAAAUGUACCGGGGCUAAGCCUGAUACCGAAACUGCGGAUUGUAGGAAACUAUAGUGGUAGGGGAGCGUUGUAUACGAGCAGAAGCCGUACCGUGAGGAGCGGUGGAUUGUAUAGAAGUGAGAAUGCCGGUGUGAGUAGCGAGAUGUAGGUGAGAAUCCUACACACCGAAAGCCCAAGGAUUCCAGGGGAAGGUUCGUCCGCCCUGGGUAAGUCGGGACCUAACGCGAGGCCGAAAGGCGUAGUGGAUGGAAAGCAGGCGAAAGAUUCCUGCACCCGUAUAUGGAGCGAAGGAGUGACGGAGACGGAUAGUGUGACCCUCUUAAUGGAUUGAGGGCGAAGCGAAGCGGCUGGUUACCAGGCAAAUCCGGUAACCAUAAGGCUAGAGCGUGACAGGUAAGCGAAAUCUUCGGAAAGUAGCGAAGCACAUGAUGACGGCUUCCAGGAAAAGCUUCUGGCAAUGCAUAUGCGGCCCGUACCAAAACCGACACAGGUGGGCAGGGAGAGAAUCCCGAGGUGAGCGAGAGAACUGUUGCCAAGGAACUCGGCAAAAUGACUCCGUAAGUUAGCGAGAAGGAGUGCUUAAGCAAUUAAGCCGCAGUGAAGAGGCCCAAGCGACUGUUUAACUAAAACACAGCUCUCUGCGAAGUCGCAAGACGAAGUAUAGGGGGUGACACCUGCCCGGUGCUGGAAGGUUAAGAGGAUCUGUUAAGAGCGAUCUGAAGCAGUGAUCCGAAGCCCCAGUGAACGGCGGCCGUAACUAUAACGGUCCUAAGGUAGCGAAAUUCCUUGUCAGGUAAGUUCUGACCCGCACGAAAGGUGUAACGAUUUGGGCGCUGUCUCGGCAGCAGACUCGGUGAAAUCUUAGUACCUGUGAAAAUGCAGGUUACCCGCAACUAGACGGAAAGACCCCAUGGAGCUUUACUGCAGCCUGAUAUUGAAUUCUGGUCAUACAUGUACAGGAUAGGUGGGAGACAAAGAGACGUGCACGCCAGUGUACGAGGAGUCGACGUUGGGAUACCACUCUUGUGUGACCGGGGUUCUAACCUGGUAUCGAGAACAGGUACGGGGAGAGUGUCAGGUGGGCAGUUUGACUGGGGCGGUCGCCUCCCAAAGAGUAACGGAGGCGCCCAAAGGUACGCUCAGAUUGGAUGGAAACCAAUCGUCGAGUGCAAUUGCAGAAGCGUGCUUGACUGUGAGACAGACAAGUCGAACAGGGACGAAAGUCGGGAAUAGUGAUCCGGCGGUGCCGAAUGGAAGGGCCGUCGCUCAACGGAUAAAAGCUACCCUGG